GAGUUUGAUCUUGGCUCAGAACGAACGCUGGCGGCAGGCUUAACACAUGCAAGUCGAGCGCAUCGCAAGGUGAGCGGCAGACGGGUGAGUAACGCGUGGGAAUCUACCCAAUACUACGGAAUAGCUCCGGGAAACUGGAAUUAAUACCGUAUGUGCCCUACGGGGGAAAGAUUUAUCGGUAUUGGAUGAGCCCGCGUUGGAUUAGCUAGUUGGUGAGGUAACGGCCCACCAAGGCGACGAUCCAUAGCUGGUCUGAGAGGAUGAUCAGCCACACUGGGACUGAGACACGGCCCAGACUCCUACGGGAGGCAGCAGUGGGGAAUAUUGGACAAUGGGCGAAAGCCUGAUCCAGCCAUGCCGCGUGAGUGAUGAAGGCCUUAGGGUUGUAAAGCUCUUUCAGUGGGGAAGAUAAUGACGGUACCCACAGAAGAAGCCCCGGCUAACUUCGUGCCAGCCGCCGCGGU
rnacentral:rRNA from 1 species